rnacentral:rRNA from 1 species
UGGGGAAUAUUGGACAAUGGGCGAAAGCCUGAUCCAGCCAUGCCGCGUGUGUGAAGAAGGUCUUCGGAUUGUAAAGCUCUUUAAGUUGGGAGGAAGGGCAGUAAGCGAAUACCUUGCUGUUUUGACGUUACCGACAGAAUAAGCACCGGCUAACUCUGUGCCAGCCGCCGCGGUAAUACAGAGGGUGCAAGCGUUAAUCGGAAUUACUGGGCGUAAAGCGCGCGUAGGUGGUUCGUUAAGUUGAAUGUGAAAGCCCCGGGCUCAACCUGGGAACUGCAUCCAAAACUGGCGAGCUAGAGUAGGGCAGAGGGUGGUGGAAUUUCCUGUGUAGCGGUGAAAUGCGUAGAUAUAGGGAGGAACACCAGUGGCGAAGGCGACCACCUGGGCUCAUACUGACACUGAGGUGCGAAAGCGUGGGGAGCAAACAGG